UACGUAGGGGGCGAGCGUUGUCCGGAAUCAUUGGGCGUAAAGCGCGUGUAGGCGGCCAUGCAAGUCGGAUGUGAAAGCCCUCGGCUCAACCGGGGAAGUGCACUCGAAACUGCAAGGCUAGAGUCUCGGAGAGGAUCGUGGAAUUCUCGGUGUAGAGGUGAAAUUCGUAGAUAUCGAGAGGAACACCGGUGGCGAAGGCGGCGAUCUGGACGAUGACUGACGCUGAGACGCGAAAGCGUGGGGAGCAAACAGG
rnacentral:rRNA from 1 species